AGCAUCCAUGCAGAAUAAUGAGGGAGGUAGAAUCUAGGCAGAGGUGUAAAAAUUGCCCUGCCUAAAUAAUACCCCCCUGUAUUAUAUAGGUGUUUAAGUCAAUAGAAUCAAAAGUGUUAUGAGACAUAAAGUGCCUCUUGUGUCAAUGCAUUUUACCUAUUUGUAUGACUUUUUGAGCAUCCAUGCAGAAUAAUGAGGGAGGUAGAAUCUAGGCAGAGGUGUAUACAAUAGUGCUGCCUAGAUAAUACCCCCCUGAAUAAUAUAGGUGUUUAAGUCAAUGGAAUCAAUAGUGUUAUGAGACAUAGAGUGCCUC